rnacentral:rRNA from 2 species
UUAAGCGACUAAGCGUACACGGUGGAUGCCCUGGCAGUCAGAGGCGAUGAAGGGCGUACUAAUCUGCGAUAAGCGCCGGUAAGGUGAUAUGAACCGUUAUAACCGGCGAUACCCGAAUGGGGAAACCCAGUGUGAUUCGUCACACUAUCAUUAACUGAAUCCAUAGGUUAAUGAGGCGAACCGGGGGAACUGAAACAUCUAAGUACCCCGAGGAAAAGAAAUCAACCGAGAUUCCCCCAGUAGCGGCGAGCGAACGGGGAGGAGCCCAGAGCCUGAAUCAGCAUGUGUGUUAGUGGAAGCGUCUGGAAAGGCGCGCGAUACAGGGUGACAGCCCCGUACACAAAAGCGCAUGUGCUGUGAGCUCGAUGAGUAGGGCGGGACACGUGGUAUCCUGUCUGAAUAUGGGGGGACCAUCCUCCAAGGCUAAAUACUCCUGACUGACCGAUAGUGAACCAGUACCGUGAGGGAAAGGCGAAAAGAACCCCGGCGAGGGGAGUGAAAAAGAACCUGAAACCGUGUACGUACAAGCAGUGGGAGCACAGGUUUACCUGUGUGACUGCGUACCUUUUGUAUAAUGGGUCAGCGACUUAUAUUCUGUAGCAAGGUUAACCGAAUAGGGGAGCCGGAGGGAAACCGAGUCUUAAUUGGGCGUUAAGUUGCAGGGUAUAGACCCGAAACCCGGUGAUCUAGCCAUGGGCAGGUUGAAGGUUGGGUAACACUAACUGGAGGACCGAACCGACUAAUGUUGAAAAAUUAGCGGAUGACCUGUGGCUGGGGGUGAAAGGCCAAUCAAACCGGGAGAUAGCUGGUUCUCCCCGAAAGCUAUUUAGGUAGCGCCUCGUGAAUUCAUCUCCGGGGGUAGAGCACUGUUUCGGCUAGGGGGCCAUCCCGGCUUACCAACCCGAUGCAAACUGCGAAUACCGGAGAAUGUUAUCACGGGAGACACACGGCGGGUGCUAACGUCCGUCGUGAAGAGGGAAACAACCCAGACCGCCAGCUAAGGUCCCAAAGUCAUGGUUAAGUGGGAAACGAUGUGGGAAGGCCCAGACAGCCAGGAUGUUGGCUUAGAAGCAGCCAUCAUUUAAAGAAAGCGUAAUAGCUCACUGGUCGAGUCGGCCUGCGCGGAAGAUGUAACGGGGCUAAACCAUGCACCGAAGCUGCGGCAGCGACACUGUGUGUUGUUGGGUAGGGGAGCGUUCUGUAAGCCUGCGAAGGUGGCCUGUGAGGGUUGCUGGAGGUAUCAGAAGUGCGAAUGCUGACAUAAGUAACGAUAAAGCGGGUGAAAAGCCCGCUCGCCGGAAGACCAAGGGUUCCUGUCCAACGUUAAUCGGGGCAGGGUGAGUCGACCCCUAAGGCGAGGCCGAAAGGCGUAGUCGAUGGGAAACGGGUUAAUAUUCCCGUACUUGGUGUUACUGCGAAGGGGGGACGGAGAAGGCUAUGUUGGCCGGGCGACGGUUGUCCCGGUUUAAGCGUGUAGGUGUGUGUUCCAGGUAAAUCCGGUUCACUUUAACACUGAGGCGUGACGACGAGGCACUACGGUGCUGAAGCAACAAAUGCCCUGCUUCCAGGAAAAGCCUCUAAGCAUCAGGUAACAUCAAAUCGUACCCCAAACCGACACAGGUGGUCAGGUAGAGAAUACCAAGGCGCUUGAGAGAACUCGGGUGAAGGAACUAGGCAAAAUGGUGCCGUAACUUCGGGAGAAGGCACGCUGACACGUAGGUGAAGUGAUUUACUCAUGGAGCUGAAGUCAGUCGAAGAUACCAGCUGGCUGCAACUGUUUAUUAAAAACACAGCACUGUGCAAACACGAAAGUGGACGUAUACGGUGUGACGCCUGCCCGGUGCCGGAAGGUUAAUUGAUGGGGUCAGCGCAAGCGAAGCUCCUGAUCGAAGCCCCGGUAAACGGCGGCCGUAACUAUAACGGUCCUAAGGUAGCGAAAUUCCUUGUCGGGUAAGUUCCGACCUGCACGAAUGGCGUAAUGAUGGCCAGGCUGUCUCCACCCGAGACUCAGUGAAAUUGAACUCGCUGUGAAGAUGCAGUGUACCCGCGGCAAGACGGAAAGACCCCGUGAACCUUUACUAUAGCUUGACACUGAACAUUGAGCCUUGAUGUGUAGGAUAGGUGGGAGGCUUUGAAGUGUGGACGCCAGUCUGCAUGGAGCCGACCUUGAAAUACCACCCUUUAAUGUUUGAUGUUCUAACGUGGACCCGUUACCCGGGUUGCGGACAGUGUCUGGUGGGUAGUUUGACUGGGGCGGUCUCCUCCUAAAGAGUAACGGAGGAGCACGAAGGUUGGCUAAUCCUGGUCGGACAUCAGGAGGUUAGUGCAAUGGCAUAAGCCAGCUUGACUGCGAGCGUGACGGCGCGAGCAGGUGCGAAAGCAGGUCAUAGUGAUCCGGUGGUUCUGAAUGGAAGGGCCAUCGCUCAACGGAUAAAAGGUACUCCGGGGAUAACAGGCUGAUACCGCCCAAGAGUUCAUAUCGACGGCGGUGUUUGGCACCUCGAUGUCGGCUCAUCACAUCCUGGGGCUGAAGUAGGUCCCAAGGGUAUGGCUGUUCGCCAUUUAAAGUGGUACGCGAGCUGGGUUUAGAACGUCGUGAGACAGUUCGGUCCCUAUCUGCCGUGGGCGCUGGAGAACUGAGGGGGGCUGCUCCUAGUACGAGAGGACCGGAGUGGACGCAUCACUGGUGUUCGGGUUGUCAUGCCAAUGGCACUGCCCGGUAGCUAAAUGCGGAAGAGAUAAGUGCUGAAAGCAUCUAAGCACGAAACUUGCCCCGAGAUGAGUUCUCCCUGAGACUUAAAGUCUCCUGAAGGAACGUUGAAGACGACGACGUUGAUAGGCCGGGUGUGUAAGCGCAGCGAUGCGUUGAGCUAACCGGUACUAAUGAACCGUGAGGCUUAACCUU